CCUACGGGUGGCAGCAGUCGAGAAUCAUUCACAAUGGGGGAAACCCUGAUGGUGCGACGCCGCGUGGGGGAAUGAAGGUCUUCGGAUUGUAAACCCCUGUCAUGUGGGAGCAAAUUAAAAAGAUAGUACCACAAGAGGAAGAGACGGCUAACUCUGUGCCAGCAGCCGCGGUAAUACAGAGGUCUCAAGCGUUGUUCGGAAUCACUGGGCGUAAAGCGUGCGUAGGCUGUUUCGUAGGUCGUGUGUGAAAGGCGCGGGCUCAACCCGCGGACGGCACAUGAUACUGCGAGACUAGAGUAAGGGAGGGGGAACCGGAAUGCUCGGUGUAGCAGUGAAAUGCGUAGAUAUCGAGAGGAACACUCGUGGCGAAGGCGGGUUCCUGGACAUUAACUGACGCUGAGGCACGAAGGCCAGGGGAGCGAAAGGGAUUAGAUACCCCUGUAGUC
rnacentral:rRNA from 1 species